rnacentral:lncRNA from 1 species
AGAAAAAAAAAAGAAUAAGGAUGGAGAAGAAGCAUAGUAAAAGCACUACGAAAAAGAAACUCAAUGGAAGCAUAAGGGGGAAGAAACAUAACAAAAAAUAAUAAAAUAAUCUUAAUGAGAAGAAGAGAGAAAAAGUAAUGAAGAAAUGGAGAAUAAACUCACCGGAAAAGAAGAAUCACAAAUAAGUGUGGGACAAAUUCACGGUGAAGAAGAACAAAAUCAUUCUGAAACGCU